UCCACUCUGCCACACUCUGUCCCACUCGCUCGCCCGCAAAUUACCCCUGCAGAACGAGGCAGCCAGCUGGCGAGCGAGAGCGAGAGCGAAAGAGAUAGCAUCCGCCCGCCGACUCUUUUCCGGGGAAGUGCAAAUGUGGCAGAUUAAUAGCACAAUUGGAAAUAGCGUUCUGUCAGCUUGAGUUCACAAAGCAGCGGAUUUGGCCAGGAGGGCAGCCCUGCACCACCAUCUCCGCCACUGCCCCUUCUACCUCCUCUCUCUCUCUGCUGACUACUGAGAUCUUUAUUAGCGCCAAGAGUUCUACGCGCUAUCGCCUGGCAUUUGGCAGGCGGCGAUUGCGAUAAGCAGACUCGAGCUGAAGCCUCAGGAAUCCAAUCCAUUUGCCCCAGCCAUGCGAAUGCAAAUUGCGCGGCAUGCAGCCAAUGCAGCAGAUGCAGCCACUGCAACGGAUGCAGCAGCUCUGGCAUUUUCCACAAGUUCACCCCACGGGUUAAUUGACAGUUUUCCUUGGGCACGAGCCGUGUUGCUGCUCACCGCUGGCCGGGAUCUCUGGCUCAGUCAGUAUCAGGUGUUGUUCCAGCCGGCCUGGCAUCCAAAUGCGAGUGCCUGGGAUGUGUGUGUGUGUGGCCAGAAGCGAUUGCGUACUCCGUUUUCAUUAGCCGCCAUGCCGUCGAGAUGUGGAAUGCGCGACAACUAAAGGAGAAAAUGCUUGAGGGCGGGCCGUAGUGGCACACCGUUCACUUACCAUUUGAACAGAGUCCAAUGCUAGAAGUAACGGCUGUAAAUAUUCAUUUCUGCACUUAACUGGCCAUGUUCCUGUGUCAGACACGAGCAACAAAUCAUGGCCAAAAAUGAAGAAAGCCAAUUACUGCAUAUUCCAUUGCCAAGGCACACACAGCACACACAGCACACGCACACCACCUCCCAGUGGAAAGGACUCUGGAAAAAGUCACGAGGCGAACUCCAUUUCUCCUCGUACCGCCUCGCAAUGUCAUUGUUGCUGUUCCUGCUGCUGUUGGUAGUCGUUGGUAGGCCUUGUAGUUGGCUAAUUGGAUUUCAUUUGGGCAGAAACAACGCAGAAGCAAUUGCCGUAAUAAAAGCAACAAAGACGCCAACAACAGGGCCCCUUCCACAAUCAGGCAACAACAAUAACUGCAGCGGCAGCAACGACGAGGAAUUGGUGCUUGGUAUGAAUACGAAAUGAUGAGGCCCAGACCACCACAUCGCAUUCAUGCAGGGGCCGGAGAAGGAGACUGAGAUUCUGGUGCUGCUGGUGGUGGUUCUGAUCCCAAGAUGAGGACGAG